CCUGCAGGAACAGCCUCAAGUCAUUUGCAUCAGUGGUUUUUCUGGGAAAGAAGAGGUGUCUGCUGACGGGUGUGGUGGCGGUGUCACUAGAUGUCUGAGUCCUCUCCAAAGGAUUUAUUCAAAGUCCCUUGACAGUGUGUUGAGGAAACCAGCUUUAAAAGCACACUACUUACUGUAUCCCUGCUGCUGUGCCUUUCUGCUCUCCUUCUUGGU
rnacentral:lncRNA from 1 species